rnacentral:tRNA from 2 species
GCAGUCGUGGCUGAGUGGUUAAGGCGAUGGACUAAAAAUCCAUUGGGGUCUCCCCGCACAGGUUCGAAUCCUGUCGACUGCG